rnacentral:piRNA from 1 species
UAAAUGGGUUUGGAUAAUCCCAGCCUCAGGUU